rnacentral:ribozyme from 14 species
CUGUAACAAAUAUGGAAAAAGGAACGGAAGGGAAUUAAAAUGUAUGCACACAGAUAAGUCAUUUCAGAAACCCCUUAUGAUUUUUUUUUUUUGAUUUUUUUGAAUUUUUUGAAUUUGAUCUGAAGAA